rnacentral:rRNA from 1 species
UACAGAGGGGGCCAGCGUUAUUCGGAAUUAUUGGGCGUAAAGGGCGCGUAGGCGGCCAUGCGUGUCUUCCCGUGAAAUCCCUCGGCUUAACUUGAGGACGUGCGGAAGAAACUGCAAGGGCUCGAGUCCGGGAGAGGGGGGUGGAAUUCCCAGUGUAGCGGAUGGAAAUGCGUAGAUAUUGGGAGGAACACCGGUGGCGAAGGCGGCCCCCUGGCCGGUACUGA